UGUCUUUAUUUCAGACACUUCUACGAUGGAACCCCUGGGUAGGCAGUAAUCUGCAAUACCAGAUAUGCCCUGAUACUCUAGAGUUCAGGAUUGCAAGGUGCUGACAAGAGGGCAUGGUUGUUUUAGCCAGCUGAAGAUUUGGAAUCUUCCUGAGCUGUUAUGACUUCACCUUUUCAUCAACACACUCCAGGAUCUUUAUUUUGCUCAUAUUUCCAGUGUGGUUUCGGACUUCUGCCUAAUGUUUAUCAGAUCUCUCUCAGUUUAUGACCUUGAACGUUUGGAGGAGAACUUCUGAACUUGCUUGUUCCAAACUCCAGGACUGUGGCAAUGACACAUGAAGUGAGGAGCCAACUGGAAAUUCAGUUGCAGAACCGAAAUUCACAACUGCAAGUGUAACAUGAGCCCAAAGAGGCGUUUCCAGGAGAAGAGCUUGGAAGCUGCUAUCCUAGCCUCUUAAGAGACAAAGCCACAGCUGUCAGUUGCUGUUAUUACUGGAUAAGUAAUGAAGAGUGGAGAGAAUAUGGCACAUGAAGUCCUUGUGUGAUCUUGCAGCAGGAUGGUUUAGCUGUGACCUACUGGUAUGAAUAGGAUACCAAAACUGUACUGUACUGUGCUGUCCCUAUGGCAGAAUAAAACUAAACUAACUGCCCUUUGAUGUUACUUUCCUGCAAGAAUGCCACCGAGGCUGACUGUAGUCUCCUUAUCUGGUGUUCCCAGUGAACUAUGGAUGUACCUCAUAUUUAGAGCAGCCUUACAGGCAUACUUACCUGCACAUGCUCCAUACCUCCAGCUCUCCAAUCUCACCUCUCUUGAUAGCAUUGGUCCAAAAGGAAAACCAGGAGUCUGUUUUUGAAGGAUUCUGAUGUUGCCUGCCAUAAAUGCAUUUGGGAUUUGUAGUCUGUUUGGACUUGGACUGAGUGCAGACUUUCUGAUAUCUUCCUGGGUCUUGGAAGUAUCCUGAAAUCCAGAAUGCUCUUGAGGUGCUGUCAGAUAUUUGAGGAAUUAAAUCUUCAGGGCUAUUAAAUCAGCACCUUUUGCAGCUGCCAAUUUCCCAGAGCAAUCUACUUUCAAUUAUGCGCCAUAAUGGAAGUGGUAGAAUAACCCAAAUAAGACAAAACCAUGGAUAAUACAAAAGUGAAAACAGCGAGAAACAGCAAAGCAGGCACAGGUUGUGCUGAAUCCUUUGGGAUGGUCUCUCCCACGAAUCUCCUGGGGGGAGAACUGGAGCAGUAGCCUUGGUUGCCUGUCGCUGUGUGGUACUUCAUUCCCAGCUGUGCCGCAAAGAGGAACAGCAUUCAAAAUGGUCUCGCUUGAUCUGAGGAGACACGGGUGCAAAUAGUGGUUUCUCCUGUACUUUUGGUCUCUGAGAGAAAUGAACACAUGGAUGAAUUGUUUCAGCUAAGAAGGAGAGAAGUGAUAUCAGUAAGAAGCAGCAAGGAUUACACUUUCAUCCUGUACUGAGGGCUGCUAUAUGCCGAUCGUCAAGCUUAGAAGCAGUGCCAGUGCCCUGCAGGGACUUACUGCUUCUGAAGACA